rnacentral:tRNA from 1 species
GGAGUUGUAGCUCAGUGGUAGAGCACUUGCCUCAUACGCGUGAGGCACUGCUUUGAUUCCU